CCUACGGGUGGCAGCAGUGAGGAAUAUUGGACAAUGGCCGAGAGGCUGAACCAGCCAAGUCGCGUGAGGGAAGAAUGUCCUAUGGAUUGUAAACCUCGUUUGUCAGGGAGCAAAGUCACCCACGUGUGGGUGUUGGAGAGUACCUGAAGAAAAAGCAUCGGCUCACUCCGUGACAGCAGCCGCGGUAAUACGGAGGAUGCGAGCGUUGUCCGGAUUUAUUGGGUUAAAAGGGUGCGUAGGCGGGCUAUCAAGUCAGCGGUAAAAUCUUGGAGCUAAACUCCAUCCAGCCGUUGAAACUGAUGAUCUUGAGUGGGCGAGAAGUAUGCGGAAUGCGUGGUGUAGCGGUGAAAUGCCGAGAUAUCACGCAGAACGCCGAUUGCGAAGGCAGCAAACCGGCGCCCGACUGACGCUGAAGCACGAAAGCGUGGGGAUCGAACAGGAUUAGAUACCCGUGUAGUC
rnacentral:rRNA from 1 species